rnacentral:lncRNA from 1 species
GAACACCAGCAUCAAAUCAUGACGAUUGUGAUCACCCUGCAAGAACACGCACUCCUCAAUUUAGGUCAAGUUGCCUCGGCAGCUGACUGAUUAAGCCAUUAGGUCACACUGCAAUAGGAAGAUCCGAGCACUCGGUUACGACACAGGUGCUAUAAACAGGACUUAAAAGGACGGGCUAUGGAAGAAAGGCACGGUAAACAAGGGCCAAGACAAGUCAACGUGAAAACUAAACAAUUUGGAGUUCCAGAGGGACUAAUAAAAUCUCGGCCCUUUCCUUUGCCGCCGACAGGUAACACGGUACCGGAAAGGCCGAAGGCUCAAAGUCCGAAACCGCCGAAAAAUGUGAAAGCAUGAAAUUCGUUAUUUCCGAGCAGAAUGAAGAACCUGAAUCAUCAAGAAUCAUCUCCCACAGAGAUUUCGGAACUCCGCCCCUGAAACUCUACUCUCCAAAUCCUGCCUGGGUCGUCUUGACCUGGACUGGAAUGUCUGUACGAGGCUCAAUAAAAUAAUUUA